CCCCUAGAUGUUCUGGGCCGCACGCGCGCUACACUGAACAGUUCAACAAGUCUUAACCUUGGCCGAUAGGUCUGGGUAAUCUUUGAACGCUGUUCGUGAUUGGGAUAGACCUUUGCAAUAUGGGUCUUCAACGAGGAAUUCCUAGUAAACGCAAGUCAUCAGCUUGCAUUGAUUACGUCCCUGCCCUUUGUACACACCGCCCGUCGCACCUACCGAUUGAAUGGUCCGGUGAAAUCUCGGGACGGCGGCUUGGUCGCUUGCGUCCGACUGCUGAAACUUGAUUAAACCAUAUCAUUUAGAGGAAGGUGAAGUCGUAACA
rnacentral:rRNA from 1 species